GUGGGUGUCUGGUUACUGGCAGGCAUCCAGGGGCUGCCCCUAGCCACUCGGCCCAUAUCGGGCAGCAGGCGGAUGGAAUGCGGGCAAAGGAUGCCAAUGCUCUUUCUCCAAUUACCCAGCGGCUCUGAUCCCAUGGCCCUGAGGAGGGCAGCCAACAGAUGAUGACUGUGCUGUACUGUACUAAUCAUGGCAAAGCAAAGCAGUGUGUGUGGGUAAAAAGGUCACCAUAGAGACAAGGAUAUGUGAUGAGACUGUUUGUCACAGGCAACACAAGCAACUAAACCAGAGGACAUCGAUCCACAGAGAUCCAGAUGACAUUAAAAUAAAAACACAAAACAGGA